rnacentral:rRNA from 1 species
CUGGCGGCGUGCUUAACACAUGCAAGUCGAACGCGAAAGGGACUUCGGUCCUGAGUAAAGUGGCGCACGGGUGAGUAACGCGUAGAUAACCUGUCUUCAUGUCUGGAAUAAUACGCCGAAAGGGGUACUAAUACCGGAUAUCUUGCUUUUCAUAAGUUAUGCAAGCAAAGGUGGCCUCUGCAUAUGCUACUGCAUGAAGAGGGGUCUGCGUACCAUUAGCUAGUAGGUGGGGUAAUGGCCUACCUAGGCGACGAUGGUUAGCGGGUCUGAGAGGAUGAUCCGCCACACUGGCACUGGAACACGGGCCAGACUCCUACGGGAGGCAGCAGUGAGGAAUAUUGCGCAAUGGGGGAAACCCUGACGCAGCGACGCCGCGUGAGUGAGGAAAGGGCCUUCGGGUCGUAAAGCUCUGUCAAGAGGAAAGAAGUGUACAAUGGCUAAUACCUGUUGUAUUUGACGGUACCUCUAAAGGAAGCACCGGCUAACUCCGUGCCAGCAGCUGC